GACGAACGCUGGCGGCGUGCUUUAGGCAUGCAAGUCGAACGCGAAAGCCCCUUCGGGGGUGAGUAGAGUGGCGAACGGGUGAGUAACACGUGGGUAACCUGCCCCUCGCAGGGGGAUAACCGGGGGAAAUCCCGGCUAAUACCCCGUACGCUUGCUGGGGCGCAUGCUCCGGCAAGGAAAGGUAGCUUCGGCCAUCCGACGAGGGAGGGGCCCGCGGCCCAUUAGCUAGUUGGUGGGGUAACGGCCCACCAAGGCGACGAUGGGUAGCUGGCCUGAGAGGGUGGUCAGCCACACUGGGACUGAGACACGGCCCAGACUCCUACGGGAGGCAGCAGCCAGGAAUCUUGCGCAAUGGGCGAAAGCCUGACGCAGCAACGCCGCGUGGGCGAUGAAGGCCUUCGGGUCGUAAAGCCCUGUUGUCGGGGACGAAGGGCGAAGGGUUAAUAGCCCCUAGCCUGACGGUACCCGACGAGGAAGCCCCGGCUAACUACGUG
rnacentral:rRNA from 1 species